rnacentral:misc_RNA from 1 species
CCACCUCCAAAUAUAUUCAUAUGAAUCCCCAUCCUAAGUUAUUUAAAAGAAAAUUCAGGUUUGUAUUAUACACAUUAUACAAUGAAUAAAGACAUCAAACUACAAAAGAAAACAAGAAACAAAAAUGUUGCCCAUCCCUGGAAGAAGACCUAGACUCCGGUAAUUAUACAAAAGCAAUGUAAAAAAAAAGAAAAUAUAACCUCAUACAGGAUCAUUUUGGCUUUGCUCUGGUCCAGGUCCACGGUUCUCUUCACCUCCACUCUCCUGCUUCUGCUCUUGCACAGCUGAAACAAAUUGACAAUCCUCAGGAAGUCGUCCUUCACUCUCCCCAGCUUGAGCUGGCAUUUGUGAUGCUGAACUUCCUUGUUGCUCAGAUACCAAGCUUGUGAGGCCAUUCUGCUUCAGAUAUGUAUCCAACGGAAGGCUUGCUACUUGAAGAAGACUCAGCAUGCUCAUACGGGCUAACCCCACCUGUGAUUCUUCUUCACGAGCUGGAUGACAAUUUAAGUCUAUAUGUCCUUUCCCAAUGUCAAUCAUUUUGUUCAAAAGAUUGUUGCUUUGACUUUUGGGUUCCAACUCAUUCGCUAACCUAUCCUCAUUCUCUGAAGGAUCUUGGGGUGUUGAUACAAGCUUAGAGCUGCUCUCCACUUCAGCUUCAUCUCUGGGACCUGACAUGUUCUGAUCCCUUAGGGCAAUCUCUGCUUCAUGCUCUGAUUGACGCUUCUUCUUGCGCAUCAUCAUGGUCUUAAAACGACGCUUAACUGUCAUGCAGACGGUACAUGUACAUGUAGGCUUGUGCUUGCCCUUACCACUUGGGGGCUGAAUGCACACAAUGCAAGAGCAGCCAGGCCGAUGCCUGGGGUGUUUGGUUGUUGUAGCAACUACCGUAGUGCCUGGAUCACCCGCAUCUCCAAGGAUUGCAGCAUUAGCUAAAGCAUCCAGG